rnacentral:rRNA from 1 species
CGCAAGCCUGACGGAGCAAGACCGCGUGCGGGAUGACGGCCUAAUGGUUGUAAACCGCUUUUCUCUGGGAAGAUGAUGACGGUACCAGAGGAAUCAGCCUCGGCUAACUCCGUGCCAGCAGCCGCGGUAAUACGGAGGAGGCAAGCGUUAUCCGGAAUUAUUGGGCGUAAAGCGUCCGUAGGUGGUUACUCAAGUCUGCUGUCAAAGCGUGGGGCUUAACUCCAUAGAGGCAGUGGAAACUGGAUGACUUGAGUGCGGUAGGGGUCGAGGGAAUUCCCAGUGUAGCGGUGAAAUGCGUAGAUAUUGGGAAGAACACCAGUGGCGAAAGCGCUCGACUGGGCCUGCACUGACACUGAGGGACGAAAGCUAGGGGAGCG